rnacentral:rRNA from 1 species
CAGUCGCCACGGGAAUACGUAGGUGGCGAGCGUUGUCCGGAUUUAUUGGGCGUAAAGGGAGUGUAGGCGGUCUUUUAAGUCUGAUGUGAAAGCCCACGGCUCAACCGUGGAGGGUCAUUGGAAACUGGGAGACUUGAGUGCAGAAGAGGAGAGCGGAAUUCCAUGUGUAGCGGUGAAAUGCGUAGAUAUAUGGAGGAACACCAGUGGCGAAGGCGGCUCUCUGGUCUGUAACUGACGCUGAGGCUCGAAAGCGUGGGGAGCAAACAGGAUUAGAUACCCCAGUAGUCCCUGUCUCUUAUAA